rnacentral:lncRNA from 1 species
AGCCAGAGGGCUUGGCCUCUCCCAGAGACGGUCCCUGCCUAAUGGCCGGCUUCAUCCAAGGUGGGGGAGCGGCAGGCUGGGAGCGUGGAUGAAAGAAAAAGGAAGCCCAAUGUGGCAGGCAUUCCCUCUCUGCUGCCUGGCUGCUCUGUCCCCUCACAUCCACCUCCUGCCCUGUCACCCCAGACCUGCAGCGAUGGGACAGUUGAUCGUGGAAGGAAUCGGUGAGCCCAAGCAGAUCUUCCCUCCUUCAAACCUUUUCAGGGUACCCUCAUCACUUACCAGUUUCUCUGUGCCCUGUGGGAACAGGAGAAGUUGGAAGUGCAGCCACCUAUAAUCAGAAUGGACAUCUAUGCCUGAGUGGGGCCCAUUCCUUGUGGGGCGGGUCAGAGGGUCUAGGUCAGCCCCAGGAAAGAUCAGGGCCCCUGCGUGCUCACGUGUGCGCAAUGUACUGUAGUAUAUAUACAAGUAUACACGUGUAUAGGCGAGUGGGGGUGUCACCUGCCCAUAUAUGUGUAUGUGAAGGCCAGGGGUCAAUGUUGGUUGUCUUUCUCACUUGCUUGUCACUGGGGAGAUUGGCUGUCUAAUAAAAAGCACCCAGAAUCUU